rnacentral:rRNA from 1 species
CCUACGGGUGGCAGCAGUGGGGAAUAUUGCACAAUGGGGGAAACCCUGAUGCAGCGACGCCGCGUGAGUGAAGAAGUAUUUCGGUAUGUAAAGCUCUAUCAGCAGGGAAGAAGCAAGACGGUACCUGACUAAGAAGCCCCGGCUAACUACGUGCCAGCAGCCGCGGUAAUACGUAGGGGGCACGCGUUAUCCGGAUUUACUGGGUGUAAAGGGAGCGUAGACGGUAUGGCAAGUCUGAAGUGAAAGCCCAGGGCUUAACCCUGGGACUGCUUUGGAAACUGUUAGACUAGAGUGCUGGAGAGGUAAGUGGAAUUCCUAGUGUAGCGGUGAAAUGCUUAGAUAUCACGAAGAACCCCGAUUGCGAAGGCAGCCUGCCGCAGCGUUACUGACGCUGAAGCUCGAAAGCGCGGGUAUCGAACAGGAUUAGAUACCCCAGUAGUC